UUAGGAAUUUUGCGCAAUGGGGGCAACCCUGACGCAGCAACGCCGCGUGAGCGAUGAAGGCCUUCGGGUUGUAAAGCUCUUUUAGCAGGAACGAAACAAAUGACGGUACCUGCAGAAAAAGCACCGGCUAACUCCGUGCCAGCAGCCGCGGUAAUACGGAGGGUGCAAGCGUUAUUCGGAAUGACUGGGCGUAAAGCGCAUGUAGGCGGCUUACCAAGUCCGAUGUGAAAUCCCUGAACUCAAUUCAGGAAGUGCAUUGGAUACUGGUAGGCUAGAGUGUCGGAGAGGAGAGCGGAAUUCCAGGUGUAGAGGUGAAAUUCGUAGAUAUCUGGAGGAACAACAGAGGCGAAGGCGGCUUUCUGGACGACAACUGACGCUGAGAUGCGAAAGCGUGGGGAGC
rnacentral:rRNA from 1 species